AUUUUGGACAAUGGGCGAAAGCCUGAUCCAGCAAUGCCGCGUGCAGGAUGAAGGCCCUCGGGUUGUAAACUGCUUUUGUACGGAACGAAAAGACUUCUUCUAAUACAGGAGGUCCAUGACGGUACCGUAAGAAUAAGCACCGGCUAACUACGUGCCAGCAGCCGCGGUAAUACGGAGGGUGCGAGCGUUAAUCGGAAUUCCUGGGCGUAAAGCGUGCGCAGGCGGUUAUGUAAGACAGAGGUGAAAUCCCCGGGCUCAACCUGGGAACUGCCUUUGUGACUGCAUAGCUAGAGUACGGUAGAGGGGGAUGGAAUUCCGCGUGUAGCAGUGAAAUGCGUAGAUAUGCGGAGGAACACCGAUGGCGAAGGCAAUCCCCUGGACCUGUACUGACGCUCAUGCACGAAAGCGUGGGGAGCAAAC
rnacentral:rRNA from 1 species